UAGGGAAUAUUGCUUAAUGGGCGAAAGCCUGAACCUGCGACGCCGCGUGAGUGAUGAAGGUCGUAAGAUCGUAAAACUCUUUUCAGGGAUCUUAAAGCCUGUCUGUCAACAACAGGCAGGUCUGACUCUCCCCGGAAGAAGCCCCAGCCAACUACGUGCCAGCAGCUGCGGUAAUACGUAGGGGGCGAGCGUUAUUCGGAAUUACUGGGUGUAAAGGGUAUGUAGGCGGCCCUUCAAGUCGCGUGUCAAAGUCCAGUGCUCAACGCUGGGUGUGCACGCGAUACUGACGGGCUUGAGGGCUGGAGAGGUGAGCGGAAUUCCCGGUGUAGUGGUAAAAUACGUAGAGAUCGGGAGGAACACCAGCGGCGCAGGCGGCUCACUAGACAGUUUCUGACGCUAAGAUACGAAAGCGUGGGGAGCAAACA
rnacentral:rRNA from 1 species